rnacentral:rRNA from 1 species
UACGUAGGGGGCAAGCGUUGUCCGGAAUUAUUGGGCGUAAAGCGCGUGUAGGCGGCUAGAUAAGUCCGCUGUGAAAUCUCGAGGCUCAACUUCGAGCUGUCGGUGGAAACUGUCUGGCUAGAGUCCGGAAGAGGAGAAUGGAAUUCCUGGUGUAGCGGUGAAAUGCGCAGAUAUCAGGAAGAACACCCGUGGCGAAGGCGGUUCUCUGGGACGGUACUGACGCUGAGACGCGAAAGCGUGGGGAGCGAACAGG